UUGUUUUUUGUAACUUGGUUGCAGGAGAAAAGAGCCUGAAUUCUCUACACUAACUACUGCAGGAAUUGUGAACUUCAAUGGAGACAAGAGACUGAAUCCUUCACACCAACUGCCAGACUGCUGAUGGAAUUGAGGAUUUUUUGUUCAGAUCACCUUCUCUGGCAGAAAUACAGAAGAAUGAAUGAAGAUCUGAAAGAAACUGCAGCAGGACACUGGAGACUGUUCCAGUUAAAGGAAUCCGGAAGAGAGAAAUACUGAGAAGUUGUGUGAGAGAGAGACAGACACAAGGUACUAUUCUUUUGGAAUUACACGGGAUCAUCAUUACCCACAGUUCAAAAAUAGAUGAGAGAAAACCAAAUAUAUUAGUCCAUGAAAAGCAGACAAAAGUAGCAUU